AUACGGAGGAUCCAAGCGUUAUCCGGAUUUAUUGGGUUUAAAGGGUGCGCAGGCGGUAUUAUAAGUCAGUGGUGAAAUCUGGAGGCUCAACCUCCAAACUGCCAUUGUUACUGUAGUACUAGAGUACAGACGAAGUAGGCGGGAUGUAGCAUGUAGCGGUGAAAUGCUUAGAUAUGCUACAGAACACCGAUCGCGAAGGCAGCUUACUAGACUGUUACUGACGCUAAUGCACGAAAGCGUGGGGAGCGAACAGGAUUAGAAACCCCGGUAGUCC
rnacentral:rRNA from 1 species